rnacentral:rRNA from 1 species
UACGUAGGUGGCAAGCGUUGUCCGGAUUUAUUGGGUUUAAAGGGUGCGUAGGCGGCUUUUUAAGUCAGUGGUGAAAGCCGAUCGCUUAACGAUCGAACUGCCAUUGAUACUGAAAGGCUUGAGUAUAGAUGAGGUAGGCGGAAUUGACAGUGUAGCGGUGAAAUGCAUAGAUAUUGUCAAGAACACCAAUUGCGAAGGCAGCUUACUAAGUUAUAACUGACGCUGAGGCACGAAAGUGCGGGGAUCAAACGGG